CGGAGGGUCCAAGCGUUAUCCGGAAUUACUGGGCGUAAAGAGUUGCGUAGGUGGCAUUGUAAGUAGAUAGUGAAAGCUCGGGGCUCAACCUCGUAACCAUUAUCUAAACUGCAAAGCUAGAGGGCGAGAGAGGUUACUAGAAUUCCUUGUGUAGGAGUGAAAUCCGUAGAUAUAAGGAGGAAUACCGAUGGCGUAGGCAGGUAACUGGCUCGUCCCUGACACUAAGGCACGAAAGCGUGGGUAGCAAACGGGAUUAGAUACCCCGGUAGUCCACGCCGUAAACGAUGGAUGCUAGCUGUUAUGAGUAUCGACCCUCGUAGUAGCGAAGCUAACGCGUUAAGCAUCCCGCCUGUGGAGUACGGUCGCAAGACUA
rnacentral:rRNA from 1 species